ensembl:lncRNA
GCCUAUUAUUCCCUUCCCUACAGCAAAGAAACAAUUGGCAGCAUUAGUAUUCCGAUGAACAGAGGCAGCUACAAAGGGUGUGACUGCAGGCCCUCCUUAACUCCUCUUGGAUGCUGCCAGUGGAUGUGAAGGGGACUGACUCCAAUUGCUCGACUUCAAAAUAGCCCUAACGUGGUCUGGCAAGAGACAGAGGCGCAAUUCACAAGGAGCACAUAAUGUCUGCAGAUUGCCCACUUUCUCAGGAUUAGCGGGGAUCUCCCUUCCUUCUCCAGACAGGAUGAUACCUGGAAUUGGGAACUUCACCCAGGACACCCUGUGGUGCUUCAGUCAACUGAAAGGCACCUUCGACAUUGGAAUCACUGAAGGUUUCUCCACACUUUUGGAAUGUUGUAAGUAGUUUUCUUCAGAACUCAUUAAUCCUUACAUAUAUCAGGAUAUGAAAUGUGAAUAGUUCAUUUUGAUGAGCUUAAAGUAUUCUAUAUUAGCCUAUACCUAUGAAGUAGGGGCUAAAAAAUUAGUGAUAGAUUUGUUCAAUUUUCUCUCUUCACAUGAAUUCAAAUGGCAGCCACAAUGACAAAUUAAUGGACUAGGUGCCCAUUAGUGCUAUAUGCUAUUUGUUAUGUGUUAUUAGUUUUUGGUGCUCUUUAAUACUAUAUGAUAUGUAGUACUUUUGAUAAUAUACUCAAAAAUGGUUGGUUUUGAGGAGGCUUGGUUUUGACAAAUGAAUGCAAUUGGAGAAAAUAUAAAGAUUUUAUAUAAAGCUUAGACUAUAUGAUAUGAGAAGCAAACAGGUAGGAUUUUACAAGUAAAAUUCUACAUCAGAUCAUAUCGUUUUUUAAAAGACCUUAUUUUCUCUCUUCAAAUUGAUACUAAGUAUCAGUUCUAAGACAGAAGAGUAGUAAGGAUUAGGAAAUGAGGGUUAAGUGAGUUGCCCAGGGUCAUACAGCUAGGAAGUAUCUGCCAACAGAUUUGAACCCUGGACCUUUCAUCUUCAGGUCUGACUCUCUAUCCACUGAUCCACCUGGCUGCCUUAGACAGCUUGAAGCCCUAGUUUUAAUUAAGUUACAAAAUUACUAAAAUUAACUAAAAAAGUGCAGAGCAUAUAAGAUUCCACUACAUUUGCUAUUUGUUGACCAUUAAAAAAGCAUUUGAUUCAAAAGGUGAAAAUGUCACCUAAAAGGCUCCCCUCCAAUAUAUAGCCUAUAUAUGUAUGUCUCCUACACAUCUGUCAAAAUCAUACAAGAUCCUUUGAAAGGUUAAACAACAGAAAGAACUUUGAUACUAACACAAAACUAGACAUAGUACAUGGAGACAUUUGUUUGCCACUGUGAUGGAAGAUGUCUGGUUUGAACCAAACUGAAGAGAUUCCAUAGAGAGAGAAGGUCCUCCAGAUGCUUGAAUUUGUAGAUAACCCUGUCAGGGCUAUAUCAAGCUCUGAAACAUUGUAGGGUAUUCUGAGAGUUGCAACCACUGUAGAGAGCUUGGCUCAACUUUCUAUACAGGAAAAACCAAGAGAAACUGCAGGUGGAUUUUAAGGACCUUAAAUAGUUCACUGCUCCAGACAUGAUCCUUGCCUAAAGCUGAAAGCUUAAAUGAUUUGUCCAAGAAGGCAGAGUAACACUAGUGAAGGAUUUGAAUUCAAGUCUUCUUGACUUCAAGUCUUGCUUUCUAUCUUCUUUGCCAGAUCUUCCAAAAAAUAAUAGAAAGGCACAGUUGUGGGCUUAAGUAAACAGUGGCAUAUUACCAUUAAAGAAUUUUACUGGAGAAACAACUUGGAGGAUGUCAUCAGAAAGAUGUAUGAGCAGAAAAGGCCAGUCACAUAAGAAGAGCAAAAGGAUGACCAAGGAACAAUCCACAUGCUUCCUUGGUCAAAGCACCAUCAAUAGAUAGAAAGGAAAGUCCCCUGAAUGUGGGUAGAUGCCCUGAAGGAAAUCAAUGAAAGGCAAACAGAGAAGAUCAGAGGUUGUAAAAGGUUUGGAUCUCUGCCUUAAGGGAAAUAUCCAUCCAAAAUAAUGAAAUAAUAAAAAUGUCUUAGAACUGAAGUAAAAAUACUUA